rnacentral:tRNA from 1 species
AAGAUUUUAAGUUAAUUAAACUAAUAACCUUCAAAGUUAUCAAUAAAUAUGAUUUAAGUCUUA